CCUACGGGAGGCAGCAGUGAGGAAUAUUGGUCAAUGGGCGCGAGCCUGAACCAGCCAAGUAGCGUGAAGGAUGACUGCCCUACGGGUUGUAAACUUCUUUUAUAAAGGAAUAAAGUGAGGCAAGUGUGCCGUUUUGUAUGUACUUUAUGAAUAAGGAUCGGCUAACUCCGUGCCAGCAGCCGCGGUAAUACGGAGGAUCCGAGCGUUAUCCGGAGUUAUGGGGGUUAAAGGGAGCGUAGAUGGGUUGUUAAGUCAGUUGUGAAAGUUUGCGGCUCAACCGUAAAAUGGCAAUUGAUACUGGCAGUCUUGAGUACAGUUGAGGUAGGCGGAUUUCGUGGUGUAGUGGUGAACUGCUUAGAUCUCAC
rnacentral:rRNA from 1 species